AUACGGUUAGAGGUUUUCGUGCCCUACGGACUACGGCGCAACGUGCUCUCUCACUCACCCCAACGGUCACUCUCUCUCUCUCUAUCUCUCUCUAAAACCCUCAAGUCUUGACUGCUGGAAGAAGACAAAUACUAGUGAUCAGGUAUUCUAUUGGGAUUUUCAGAUAUCGCGAGUUGUUGUGCAUGCCAUAGUUAUCUUGAAUUAAUGGUUUGAUGAUGAUUCGCGUUCUUGGGGUUGUUAUCAAGAGGAGCUAAGGAGAAUCAUGCAGUGACCAGAAAGGGAAGAUAGGUGAAACCUCCACUCGAUGAACAAUGCCAGAUCUUACGGGGAUUGUAAGAGCUUGUCCUGCAUUGAUUAAUUAUAAGCUCCACAAACUAGUAAAUGAGUCCGAGCGGCUCCUCUAAUCAUUGCCAAUUGGUUUCGAGCAGUGAUUUAAGAAGCGUGCUUAAGCGCGAAGUAGACGAGGCACGGGUAUGGGACUUAAUGUGUAGAAGCGUAGUGCAGAUGGCGAAGUGCAGGUGAAGCGCGAAAAGUGCGUGCUUCGGGACUAAGCCUAAGGCGCAUGAAGUAUGCUUAACCAUUAACUGUAAGAAAUUUGUGAAUUUAAUCAGAGCUGUACAUUUUUUUAAGUGUAUCUACCUCUAAUUGAUAUCCAAUGCACGAGAUCAAAGUUUCUAAUGAGACCAAAGCACCAGAUAACAGGUUUUAUAAAAAGCCCUAAUAGUUGAAUAGGAUCUUCCACUGGCACUUCUUCUCCUCUUCGACUGCAUUGACCUUUCCUUUGACUGAAUCAACUCUUUUUCUGUGAUGCCUCUUUCAAUUAGACCGCAAUUCGCCUAGUAUUACCUCAUCAUGUUUCUAAUUUUUAAAGCUACACAUUCAAACUUCAAAGAUUAGUUUUGAUGGAGUUCUUUUUCUUAUUUAUUUAUAUGGUUAUUUGAAUGUAAUGUAUGAUUAUUGACGUUGUACAGUUUUGGACUUCAAAGUAUGGUACUUAGCUUCUUACAUAUGCUGUAGGCCGAAAGUUCCCAAAAAAAGAGGUCUUAUACGUCCUUGAGAUAUGGUUAGUGACUAUUCUUCAUAAGGUUAGUCGACUGGUGUCUAUGACAGAAAGAGUUGGGUAUGUCAUAUGUGCUACUGUAGUAAGCAAGGGUGGGAGAAAUGAAAAACAUAAUUCCAAGUAGCUACACUGUAAGAUGCAUCUUUGCUAUGUUGGAGCCUUGAAAACGAUACAGGACUCGUAAGUGGGGGGAGUCCCUUGGUGCUCUUUUAUAGAGAAGUAGACGGAUUAGACAUGAGGUUUUGGAGUUUUUAACUGCUAGGGUAGAUGGCCUUGACCUCUUAGUAGUGAUCUUACCGGCAACUAAAACGGGCAAUUAAGUCGACAUCUCGUAUAAUGUUAUAGAACAAUUACCGAACCCAUCUCUUUCCCAAUUAUUGGGGUUAUGGAGGGGAGGAUUGAAGACAGACCUAACCUUUGGCAAUAUAUGCACAAAGUGGCUGUUCUUUGAAUACCAUUGAAAUAGUGGCCCCUUAGACCUCCAAGAACCAAGGAGCUAAAGGGACGUUUUGCUGCAGAACCAUGCUCUCAAAUCAAAGUCGAAAGGUAUCAGAGAGGGCAGGCCUAGAGACCCAAAUCAAUUUCUGUGCACAGUACCAUGCUUUCUUCAUUCUAGUAUAAUGAGGACAACGAAACUAAACGUGGGAUGUUGUUGUGUGUAUUAGGAGUUGGCCGAUAUUCAAUGAAGGUCUUUAUUUCGAACUGUUCUCGAAACAAAGAAAUCUAAGGGAAAUUGAUGGAGCAUGUCAUUGAGUAUAUUUGUGUUGAGGCAAUUACGAUUUACGAUUUACGAGGAGAGCUAAAACUUGGUAACUAGAAAUCUAUAAUAAAAUGUUAAUGCCAUCAAAAUUUUCAUUGCCUGUAGUGCCAAUUAUUCCUAUUUUCGAAGAUUUUUGUAAAUUGAUAUGACCGAUUCUUCAAUGGCAGAGAAUUAGAGAACACAUGGGAAUAGGAAAAGAUAGAAAGUUUUUCAUUUAUUGAUAACUGGAGUAUGAUAUUUCAAGAGUAGCUCUUAUUACUUGAAACACUUUAAGAAAGUAAGGAGGGUUGGAGCAUUUUAACAAUGGGUGUCGAUGCCUGUGGCAUGGACACUGUUGGUGUUAUAGGGCCUAGGGGUGUUGGGGUGGGGUAAUUGCCGGUGACGGUGUCGGUGCUGGCUCGGGUGGAGACGUCGGCGUCUUUCGGUGCUUGUGGUGUUUAUGCUUAUGCUUGUGACCAGGUGAGGAAGGUGUUGGUGCCUCUGGGCUAGUUGGUGUUGGUGCAGGUGCCUUGUGUGGUUUAUGCUUAGCUUCUUUUUCCUCAUCCAAGGAUGGUGCCGCCAGUGGUUCUUCAUGGUUGGAUGGUGCUGCCGAUGGUUCUUCAUGGUUUGAUUGACUAUCAAACCAAGCAGAAUCAACAGUUAGAUCUGAUUGCUGCUCGUCAUCAGCAAAACAGAAGUUGGUGAGAGCAGCUAGCCAAAGGCAAAGUACUAGAAAACAUGCAACAGGUUUCAUCUUUAGGAUGUGGGUUGUAGAGGUUUAAGACUUGGAUGCCCUUUUUAUAGGGAAGAUUUGAACCUGGAACUUAAUUCACAUGACAUCUACAACUAUCUCUCUGGCUUUUGUAUCAUGCAAGACUUGUUGGUAUCAUUAAAGUUGGUCUAGGUGCAGUUGAAACUUGUUUGCCUGUUAAUCUAAUGUGAUCCUAGUGCAUUUAAUGUUACAAUGUAAUCAGAUCUUGACAAUCCUUAUCAGAUCUUUUAUUGAUCCUGACUUUUCAAAUCCACGAUGGAAAUCGAUUAUUUCUCCUACGUAGAUCCCAAUGUUUUCCCCCAGUCUAUGUUGCAGAAGUUCGAAAGUUCCUGUAAUGUUUUUUCACUCUGCAAUGCAUACAUAACUAAAGUGCAUUGUUAACAAAGGUAGUCUCCGAUCACUAUUGAUGAAAUACCUAGUUUCAUGCUUAUCUGGUUUUUUAAUACCUUUCAAAUUUUAAAUUCAGCUAAAUAUUGUGAUUGAAAAGUAGAGAUCAAGAGGUAUUGGUUCCUAUGAUAAUUAGAAGGCAGUGCCCCAUAUUUAAUGAAGGUCUUUAAUGUGUAGAUUUUGUGAAUCAACAAAGUCCUAGGGACUAUAAAACAUGCAACUGUUUUCAUCUUUAGGAUGUGGGUUGUGGAGGUUUAAGACUUCGAUGCCCUUUUUAUAGGGAGCAUGUGAACCUGCAAACUCAUGCACAUAACAUCUACAAGACUUGUGGUAUCAUUGAAAUUGGUCUAGGUGCAGGUCAAACUUGUUAGCCAAUAAAUCUGAUGUAAUCUUACAUUUAACACUACUAUGUAAUCAAAUCAUGACAAUCCUUUUCAGAUUUUAGAGAUUCUAUAUGUUUUGAUCCCAAUAUUUCAAAUCCAGUGUUGAAAUGAGUUAUUUCUAUUACGUAAAUCCUAAUGUUUUUCCAAAAUAUAUAAAAUUAAAAGUUUACUUUUUUUUUUUUUCACACUUCAAUGCAAACAAAAUUAACUUGCAAUGUUAAUCUAAGUUGUCCUUGGUCACUAAAUCAUAGUUUUAUGCUUAUGCGGUUUUGUUAUAUUUACAAAUUUUAAAUUUCUACUGAAUAUUGUAAUCGAUAAUUAGAAAUCAAGAGGUAUUUGUUCCUAUGAUAACUAGGAGGCACUGCCCCUUAUUCAUGAAAUUCUUUAAUUUGUAGAUUUGUUGAAAUAACAAAGCUUAUGAGACUCCAAUAGAGGGUUUCGAUCGGGGGAGGGGUGGCGCCCCCCCGCCCCCUAUUCCUCUCCUCCUCCCAUCCCUACCGCUCGUUGUUUGGUUCUCUGGCCUAGUGGUUCAAGCGCUAGGUUGUCGGCGAGCGGGUUACCGACCUUGGGUCGAUUGGUCUAUCUUGGAUGGUUCCUUUUUGUCCUUUCAGUCUCUGGAUGCUUCUUGGGCCGACGGUGGAUGUGGUCGCAAUAAUCGGUGAGGGCAAAGGUGGGUUUUCUGGCAUUUUUCUUGCUAGUUUUUUUUCUCUCUCUCCAACCGGUUUUUCCAGUAGGUUUUCCAGUCUAGGUCUUCCUUAGAUUCGGCUGUGUACCAGUCUGGGUCUCCCCCAGAUCCGGUGGGUGUGGUAGGUGGGCGAAUAACUGAGUUUGUUUUUGUUUUGGUGGUUGUUGUGUGGUGUUCGAAAUUUGAGAUCUGUCGCCGCCGUGGUUGUGUGGGCUAGUUUUGCUGCUGCUGUGCCGCCCACGCCGUCUAUCGUGCCAGCAAAGAGUUGCCCUGGAGUGGCGUCCGUGCUGUGAUUCCAAAGGCGUGCCAGCGCUUCGUUGGUGCUGUUUUCCAAUCAAGAGCAGACUGGUGUGCCAGUUUGGGUUUCUGCUUCCGAUUGACGAUUUCAUCUUGCACUUACUUCGGGUUUAAACUGGGGAUCCUUUUGGAUCCUCUACUACUGAGUCACUGACGGGUCUCUCAUACCGGCACUUAGUGUAGGUUUGCUUUGGCAGGGUUUCUUUGAGUCUGUAGCUUGUGUACUUUUAGCAGUAACUCGUGUAUUUGAUUUAAUAGUUUUGGUUCAUUCCUGUACAUUGUGUUGAAAUCUUUUCCCUUUGGGUGAUGAAUGAAUUGCUUGACAUUGAUAAAAAAGAAAAAGAAAAAGAAAGAGAGAGAAUACAAUAGAGGAUUAAUCCAAUCUUAGACUAGUAGUGUUGCUAGGGGGGAUGAACAUUUAAUAACUAAAAAUCAAACUUUACCCCAUACAAAUCAAUUGUCAUUGUGGUUAGGGAUACGGAAAAUUAAUUUUUCACUCCACUUUCUUAUAAAUGCACUCCAAAAUUUUUCCUUUAGGCCCUGUUUGGAUGCCGGAUUUGGAGGCCGCCGCCCGGAUUUCAUCUCCUGGUCCCACUCAUAUUCGGUCUUUGGUUGCAUUUUUGGGAGGGUGGAUUAAAACACUGUUGGGACUACAAAUCCACCUCUAACAGUAUUUUGGGUGGAUUUUCCAAGCGGAGCUUCACCCCUAUCGUUGGCAAAUCUGGGGGAUUUGGGACUCUUUUACCCCUUUAAAUCCACCCUCACCCCCACACAGUGUUUUACGAAGAAGAGAGAGAGAGAGAGAGAGAGA